UCACACGCAUGCGCAUUCACUGCGGUGUGUUGGCUGGGAGGGAAGAGAGCCGGUCGGGAGCGUUUACCGUUCAGAAAAAUAAACCCGGCCUUUUUCGUUCUACCCACAGCCGCACGCUGCCCGGUUAAAUCGGCAUCGCCCUGCCGAAUCGUCAGCCACUCAAGUCUGUGCUUGUUCCACGCGGGUCCCGUCCUGUUAAAAGAGGAAAGAGACCGUCCGUCCUUGACCUUCUUUCGCCGCUGCCAUGUUGACCGCCGCUAGACUGGCCCCGGCCGCAGCUGCGGUUCGCUAUCAAUCUGGAGCUAUUUGUAGACCACUUUCUGUGUCAGUAAUGUUGACACCAGAGGCUUGGUUUGGAAAAGAACGCACAACAUUUCUGAGAAGGACCCAGGGCAAGAAUUCAUUUGUUCAAGAUGUACUUCGAGAGUUCCAGACGAGUGCUGCAAGACUGGAUAUUGAUACUGCUGCAAAGUUCAUUGGUGCUGGAGCUGCCACUGUUGGAGUGGCUGGUUCUGGGGCUGGAAUUGGAACAGUUUUUGGUAGCCUCAUUAUUGGUUAUGCCAGUCUUAGUGAUCGUGGAUUAUGAGAAUACCAUUGAACGCAGGAGAAAAUGCUGUUUGUCAGACAGGAAUGAAAGAAAAUAAAAUAAUUCAAAAUUGAAGAUACUGAAAACAAUUUACGGCAGCUGAGAAAUCCUUCCUUGAAGCAGCAGUUAUUCUCGUAUGCCAUUCUUGGAUUUGCCCUGUCUGAAGCCAUGGGACUUUUCUGUUUAAUGGUUGCUUUCCUCAUUUUGUUUGCUAUGUAAAAUUUGCUGAUGAAUAGCCAAAUCAAGUAAAAUGUAAUUAAUAUUUCA